UACGUAGGCAGCGAGCGUUGUUCGGAGUUACUGGGCGUAAAGGGUGUGUAGGCGGUUGUUUAAGUUUGGUGUGAAAUCUCCCGGCUCAACUGGGAGGGUGCGCCGAAUACUGAAUGACUUGGAGUGCGGGAGAGGAAAGUGGAAUUCCUGGUGUAGCGGUGAAAUGCGUAGAUAUCAGGAGGAACACCGGUGGUGUAGACGGCUUUCUGGACCGUAACUGACGCUGAGGCACGAAAGUGUGGGGAUCAAACAGG
rnacentral:rRNA from 1 species